AACGAACGCUGGCGGCAGGCUUAACACAUGCAAGUCGAGCGCCCCGCCAGGGGAGCGGCAGACGGGUGAGUAACGCGUGGGAACGUACCUUUUGGUUCGGAACAACUCCGGGAAACUGGAGCUAAUACCGGAUAAGCCCUAACGGGGAAAGAUUUAUCGCCGUAGGAUCGGCCCGCGUCUGAUUAGCUGGUGGGUGAGGUAACGGCUAACCAAGGCGACGAUCAGUAGCUGGUCUGAGAGGAGGAGCCGCCACACUGGGGCUGCGACACGGCCCAGACUCCUACGGAGGGCAGCGGUGGGGAAUAUUGGACAAUGGGCGCAAGCCUGAUCCAGCCAUGCCGCGUGAGUGAUGAAGGCCUUAGGGUUGUAAAGCUCUUUUGUCCGGGAAGAUAAUGACUGUACCGGAAGAAUAAGCCCCGGCUAACUUCGUG
rnacentral:rRNA from 1 species